rnacentral:snoRNA from 1 species
UUGAAAAGUGAUGAGUUUGUUCAUGUCUCUUCUCUGAGUCAAAAGUGAAGAGUGUUGAAUGUCUCUGAUUUCAG